UGCGUAGGCGGCUUUCUAAGUUGGAUGUGAAAACUCUGGGCUCAACCCAGAGCCUGCAUCCAAAACUGGAAGGCUAGGGCACUGGAGGGGAAAGCGGAAUUCCUGGUGUAGCGGUGAAAUGCGUAGAUAUCAGGAGGAACACCGGUGGCGAAGGCGGCUUUCUGGACAGUUACCGACGCUGAGGUACGAAAGCUAGGGGAGCAAACA
rnacentral:rRNA from 1 species